CAACUGGAGACAGAAACACAAACACGUGCAGAGAUGUGUCAGGCAUGAACUUGGAAGACUUCUGAAAGUUACUAUGUGCUGCACGGGUUGGGGGCACCAAUGUUCUGCACCCGGAGGAACCUGGAGCCUUCAGCAGGUUCAGUCGCCCUCAGCAGUAAGGAGCCAACCAGGGACUCCAGGAGCAGACUGAGGAGGUGUCAGCUCCUGCAUUUCUUGGAAUCUUUUCUUUUGUAGGGGCAGAGAUUUCCUGUAUUCUCUCCUGAGCACAGGAACACAUGGAGCUGGUGCUCAACAGAUGAGGAACAUAAGCAUCCGACGCCCAAUGUGUGCAUACUGGCUUGGAUUAUAACGUCUCCCUUUGUGAGAAGCUCAACCCAUUUGUUUCUCACACUGACUUCUAGAAGGGACAGAGCAUGUCUCUUCUUCUUUACGGUGGAAAUAGUUCCUGUUGCAUUCAGAAUGAAAUGCGACACGGUCCAGCCAACCUCAUCUAAAUCAAGUCUGGGACUCCUCUCCUCCAGCUAAGCUUUGUGGGGGUGUCACAGAGAAGGGAGGGGAGUUCGUGUUCUUUCUGUCUUCUCUGGGAACCUUUCCCCUGUUGGCAUCAGCCCACCGAGCUCUUUCCAAGUCUGUACGUGCCAUAUACCUAAAAUCACUCCCAGCUAACGUCUGCUUUCAACUCA